rnacentral:rRNA from 1 species
CAAUAUGUCAGUGGCAGACGGGUGAGUAACGCGUGGGAACGUACCUUUUGGUUCGGAACAACACAGGGAAACUUGUGCUAAUACCGGAUAAGCCCUUACGGGGAAAGAUUUAUCGCCGAAAGAUCGGCCCGCGUCUGAUUAGCUAGUUGGUGAGGUAAUGGCUCACCAAGGCGACGAUCAGUAGCUGGUCUGAGAGGAUGAUCAGCCACAUUGGGACUGAGACACGGCCCAA